UACGGAGGGGGCUAGCGUUGUUCGGAAUUACUGGGCGUAAAGCGCACGUAGGCGGCUUUGCAAGUCAGAGGUGAAAUCCCGAGGCUCAACCUCGGAACUGCCUUUGAUACUGCAAAUCUCGAGUCCGGAAGAGGUGAGUGGAAUUCCUAGUGUAGAGGUGAAAUUCGUAGAUAUUAGGAAGAACACCAGUGGCGAAGGCGGCUCACUGGUCCGGUACUGACGCUGAGGUGCGAAAGCGUGGGGAGCAAACAGG
rnacentral:rRNA from 1 species